UCUCGUAUAGCUCAGAUGGUUAGAGCACCGUCCUAAUAAGGCGGAGGCCGUGGGUUCGAUCCCCAUUACGAGAA
rnacentral:tRNA from 1 species